ensembl:lncRNA
GUUCAUAAAGUAACCACAAGGUAGCAGUGUAAACUUGUGCGAGUCCGAUUCUUAUUCACAGCUGUUUCAUGAACGCUCUGGUGACUGUAGCAUCUCUGCAUUUACUCCCCAUGUGCGUGCAACUGAAGCUUAAGAAAGCACCUGUUUUUUAUUAGAGCGGUAAUCCAACUCCAGUCCCUCUUAAGGAAGCAGAGGAGAGAUAGAGGUGAAAGGAAAUAUAUAGCUGCUGGAAGAAAAAAAUACAGUAUUUGCAGCACCAUGGGGGUGUUCAUCCACAAAGUCACAUGAGGACUGGGCUGGGAGAGGUUACUGGACUGUGGGAAGAGAGCGAUCUGGGCUGCUUUUGAAGGACAACGCUGAGUGUUAGAAAAGAUCUCAGCUGUUCAUGGUGUCUUUUAUUGCUCAGGAGUUGAUCUUUAAUAGCUCAGGAGAUGUAAUAAAGUUCUCAUUUAUGUUCAGUUUCAGCUGUCUCAGAUGUUUCCUCUUUAGAUUCCUCUGGAAAAAAGAACAAUACACUGUGGACAAAUGAUUUUUGAAGUUGUAAAUAAAAAGAUUAUAGGAG